rnacentral:rRNA from 1 species
CAUCUGCAGUCGAGCGAUGAAGAGGAGCUUGCUCCUCUGAUUUAGCGGCGGACGGGUGAGUAACACGUGGGUAAUCUGCCUGUAAGACGGGGAUAACUCCGGGAAACCGGGGCUAAUACCGGAUAAUAAGAAGAAACGCAUGUUUCUUUUUUGAAAGUCGGUUUCGGCUGACACUUACAGAUGAGCCCGCGGCGCAUUAGCUAGUUGGUGAGGUAACGGCUCACCAAGGCGACGAUGCGUAGCCGACCUGAGAGGGUGAUCGGCCACACUGGGACUGAGACACGGCCCAGACUCCUACGGGAGGCAGCAGUAGGGAAUCUUCGGCAAUGGGCGAAAGCCUGACCGAGCAACGCCGCGUGAGCGAUGAAGGCCUUCGGGUCGUAAAGCUCUGUUGUUAGAGAAGAACAAGUACGAGAGUAACUGCUCGUACCUUGACGGUACCUAACCAGAAAGCCACGGCUAACUACGUGCCAGCAGCCGCGGUAAUACGUAGGUGGCAAGCGUUAUCCGGAAUUAUUGGGCGUAAAGCGCGCGCAGGCGGUCUCUUAAGUCUGAUGUGAAAGCCCACGGCUCAACCGUGGAGGGUCAUUGGAAACUGGGAGACUUGAGUGCAGGAGAGAAAAGUGGAAUUCCACGUGUAGCGGUGAAAUGCGUAGAGAUGUGGAGGAACACCAGUGGCGAAGGCGGCUUUUUGGCCUGUAACUGACGCUGAGGCGCGAAAGCGUGGGGAGCAAACAGGAUUAGAUACCCUGGUAGUCCACGCCGUAAACGAUGAGUGCUAGGUGUUGGGGGGUUCCACCCUCAGUGCUGAAGUUAACACAUUAAGCACUCCGCCUGGGGAGUACGACCGCAAGGUUGAAACUCAAAGGAAUUGACGGGGGCCCGCACAAGCAGUGGAGCAUGUGGGUUUAAUUCGAAGCAACGCGAGAACCUUACCAGGUCUUGACAUCCUUUGACCACUCUAGAGAUAGAGCUUUCCCCUUCGGGGGACAAAGUGACAGUGGUGCAUGGUUGUCGUCAC